UACGUAGGUGACAAGCGUUGUCCGGAUUUACUGGGCGUAAAGAGCGCGCAGGCGGUCGAUCAAGUCGAGUGUGAAGGCCCCCGGCUCAACUGGGGAGGGUCAUUCGAUACUGGUCGACUCGAAGGCAGGAGAGGGUAGUGGAAUUCCCGGUGUAGUGGUGAAAUGCGUAGAUAUCGGGAGGAACACCAGUGGCGAAGGCGACUACCUGGCCUGUUCUUGACGCUGAGGCGCGAAAGCUAGGGGAGCAAACGGG
rnacentral:rRNA from 1 species